AGAGAGCACUCUAAUACAUGUAUCUUCGUAUAACUGCGUGCCAAGUUUCUCUAGAGUAGACUUGCUGAGUCAUCAAGUAUGCAUAUGUCUCUUCAACUGCACUACAGUGCGCUAAACUACUUUUGAGUAUGUAACAAUUUGCAGUUUCUACCAUCAAUUCCUGUUGCUCCACACCCUCAUCAACACUUUGCCGACACUUCUCUUUUUAGCUAAUCUGAGUGGAUACUAGUAGACUCUAUUAAGGUUUAAUUGCAUUACUUUGAUUAUGAAAGAAGUUGAGAAUUCUUAUGGUUAUUGGCCGUUUUUAUUUCCUCUUUGUGGAGAGCUAUUCAAGUUAGUUUUUCUCAGAAUGGGUUGUCUUUUUAUUGAUGCAAAAACUUUUAUAUGUUCUGGAUACUAAUAUUUUGUCGAUUACAUGUGUGUUCAAUAUAUUCUCUCAUUGCAUGACUAUCUUUGUUCACGUUAUCUUUUGAUAAAGAGAUGUGCCUUAUUUUACCAAAUAUGUAAUUUUUGACUACAGAUUUUUAUGUUAUAGAAGACAUCUUUCAAUGCCCUGAGGUCAUGAAGAUAUAUGUGCACACACACACACAUACACCCACACAUAUAUACUUAUAGAAAGCAUACGCAUGGGUAUGUGUAUGCUUUAAAGUUUUAUCUUUCACACUUAAGUCUGUAUCCAUUUGGGGUUUUUUGCAUAUGGUGUGAGGUAGGCAUCCAAUUUCUUUCUUUGCUCUUUUCUCUUUUUCCCAUCUAGAUCUCUAAUGUUCCAGCACCACAAUCUUUUAUCGAAAAGAUUCUUUCUUCACUGUUCUGGAAUGUGACUUCUGUCAUAAAUCAAGGAUCUCUAUACGUUUGGGUCUGAAUCUGGUCAUUCUCUUCUGUCCCAUUGGUCCACUGGUCUAUUUGUCUACUGCGUCAGUACUACGAUUCCUUUUUAAAUACAUCCUGGGAUCUGGUGGAACAAAUCUUUCUACCUUCUUCUUCUUCUUCAAGAGUAUCUUACUCAGCCUUGGUCCCUUACAUGUCUCAGUACAUUUUACAAUCAUCUUGUCAAGUUCCAAGAGGAAAAAAAAAAAGUUGUUGGGGUUUUUGAUUGGGAUUAUGUUGAGUUUAUAGAUUGCUUUGGGGAGAACUGACAUCUUUCUAAUAUUGGGUCCUCUGAUCCAGGAAAUCAUGUAGCAUAUGAAUAUUUAAUGCAAACCCUGGUGACCAGAGUUGGUAACAUGGUUAUAUAACUCAAAUUUGCUAAGUGACUAGAACUUAAAUGUUCUCAUUAAAAAAAAAGAAGAUAAAUAUGUGAGAUGGAGGAUGUGUUAUUUAACUAGAUGAAGGGAAUCCUUUCACAAUGUAUAUCAAAUCACCACAAUAUUCACUUUUAAUAUCUUACAGUUUUGUCAAUUAUACCUCAAUAAAGCUGAAAAUUUUAAAAAGUGACCUAAAAAAGUCCUUAUCUUUAUACCUAACAAUAGCUCACUCCUAAGAGCUAAUCUACUUUAGAUAUGUGAAUUCCAGGGCUACUUAAAUUUUGCCUUUCUCUUUCCCCAAGAAUAUCAGAUCCUACAAAUAUGGUCUAUUUUCCCCAAACCUACUAACUUUCCUCUCUGCUCCUGAGAUGAUAGCCUUAAAGUAGAAUGUUACAUCAUAGUUCCAUGGUUCAGAAUUGCACUUGAUCUAAGCACUCAGGAGACCUAAAAGAUUCGUGACUCUGAGAAUAUAAAAAAUAUUUUUAAGUAACUGAGAACAAAUAUAAUCUUACCAGUUAAAACUAUACACACACACAGAGCCUUCAAAUUACUAACUCUCCAAAGCAUAAUUUAGAAUCAUUAUUUAAAAAAUAGUUUGUAAGUAAGACUGAGGCUGGGAGGGAAGGAAAGGUGUGUGUGCAUGAGAGAGAUAGAGAGAGAGAGAGAGAGAGAGAGAGAGAGAAAGCAUGAGGCAAGAGAAAAGUUAGCAUAGAAAAGCACCUAUCAGUGAGGCUUUGUCCAGUAACUUGGGACCUUAACCAGCCCUGAGAUCCUAAUACGGGAAUAAGCAAAGGAGCUUUCAGUGAGGUAAAAAAAUGAUUAAUGGGCUUUAGGGACUGAUUGAUGAAAAGAGAAAGCAAAGCAGGAAAACAAGCUCUGAACUUAAUAAAUGAAAGAGAAAAAAAUACCAUCCAGAAAUACUUGAGCUAGGAUGAAGAGGGGCUGUUUAUGCUAAAAUAAAGAGUUAUGAAGACUAGGAAUAACGAGUUGAAAUAAUAUGAACAUUUCCACAUAAAUCCCUCCACGGUUAAACUAAAGAAUGUUUCCCCAGGAGAAACGGAAAGGCUAAUUCUUAAGAAAACUAGGAGAGAGAAGCCGUUGAGGACAGACUGUGGGAAGAAAGAAUUGUGAGCAGCUGAAACGGACUGAACACGAUCUAACACAUCUUUUGCAUUCUCCAGUUUCUGUGAUUCUAUCCGUCCAUGUGGAGGGAAUGACGCGAUCAAGAAUUAAGAGCAACAAGAAAUGUUUUGUUUGGUGUUCGAGGAACCAUUAAAAAAAAAAAAUACAGCCUCUAAAUGAGAACUGGAUUCCUGGUCUUAAAAAUAUACAGAAAGCAUCCUGCUCUUCUGUGAAUCGGCAUUACCGAUGGGCAGCUUCAGCCCUGGGAUCCGAAAUAUUCCAGAAGAGAGGGUGGCUGUUCGAAUCAAAGGGAGAACAUUAUUUAUCGACCUGACAGAUGGAGCCAGAACUCUUCCCGUCUUCAGGUACAGAGAAUAUGCAAAAGUCAUAAUUAUCUUAAUUUUCAGUACCGCACCCAAAAGCGAUUGAAAAAUCCCAGGCUGUUAAUUAUGGCAAAAGGUAUCUUUUGUGUUUAAUUAAAGAGCUUCUGUCUUUAAUCUCCAGUGAAUAAAAUACAUUAAAAGAA